rnacentral:lncRNA from 10 species
AUUUAUAGCCAUGGAGCAGGCUGGCAGUCGGGAUGGAGGAAAUUACUAAGAGAAAGCAGCAGGGGGAAGGAAAGCUUCUGGUUAAACAGGCUUAGGAUUCUUGCUGAAGGCAGGCCAGGGUGGUCAGAUGCGAAGGAUGGGGGCCUCUCUCCACACUGACUUAGGAGGGACUUGCUAAAACUGGCUGAUGCAGGCCCAACGAUGACAGGCACAGAAGCCCAGGGUUGAGGCCCCGUUGAAAGAGAGCUUCGAGGAGCCUGACUUAAGUGCGGCCUCAGAGCGAGUCUUUGUCCUGGGAAGCGGGACCUUUUGCUGGCAAGCCAAGCGCCUGCCCUAGCUUGACCAGGGUGCGGAGCCCGCCCUCCCCUGCUGCUGUGCCUUGAGAAUCAGGCAGAUCCAGAACAGGACCAGGCCAGAAAAUCCUGCGGCUGUGGGACGUGGGCAGGAUGAGGCCUUGCUGUGAAUGUCCCUGAGAAAAAUGUGCCUCCCUCCCUUUCUAAAAAGGUUUCCUGCCGUGAAAAUGACACCCAGGAAAAUAGAACAGGAGAAGACCAGUCUCGGGAACCACACCUCCGGGAGCUCCUCUCAGCCCCUAGCCAGCGGCCCCUCUAGGCCCACAGUCCCUCCUGGACUGGAGCUGGGGUCGUUGUUCUCUCAAGGAAGCAGUGAGGAGUGUGGACAGGCCCAGGGAAGAAAUGCCUGACUCUGUGCUUCGUGGGGAAGGCGGGGAAGACAGCAGGGAUUGGAGCUGAGAACCAGAGGCCAGAGGACGCCCUGAGACAGGACUUCCUGAAAGAAGCCCUGGGACCCCCACUGCCAAGGGUCCAGAUGGUGCAUUCUGGUGAAGGCCAGCCAUCAUGUCACAAGGACACUCGAGCAGCC